GUGUCUGAGCCACGAGGGCCAG
rnacentral:siRNA from 1 species